rnacentral:sRNA from 1 species
CAGGUGAUGAUGAUAAU